rnacentral:rRNA from 1 species
GACAGAGGCCUCAAGCGUUAGGCGGAAUCACUGGGCUUAAAGCGUGUGUAGGCGGGUCGUUAAGUACCUUGUGAAAUCCCACGGCUCACCCGUGGAACUGCUGGGUAUACUGGCGAUCUUGGGCCAUUUAGGGGCAACUGGAACAAGCGGUGGAGCGGUGAAAUGCGUAGAUAUCGCUUGGAACGCCAAAGGUGAAAACAGGCAACUGGGGCUGUACCGACGCUGAGACACG